UGCUUCCAUGUGUUGUUUUGCAUAAGCAGAAAGUAUUCGGCAUUUUCUUUUAUUAAUUUAAGAAAUAUUUUUUUUUGAUUUGAAAUUUGUUUACUUUUGAAUUUCAAAAUUUGAAUUUUUGAAUAAAUGUAAGGGUUAAAUCAAUGGCAACAAACAUGUCAAAUUCGGGUAAAAAAAUUAAAAUGUCAUAUACUUAGUUCACUUUGUUGAAUACACUUUGGUAAAAACUAGUAAGCAAGACACAGUUCUGAUAAGAGAGUUGUCGAGUGAGGACAAUUUUAAAGAGAGAGUUGUCGAGUAAAGUGCAAAUAAGUUAUAAGUUGGAUUUGUAAAGUACACUGCAAGACGAGCAGAGUUACUAAACUUAUGGAAUAUUACCUUAAAGUUACCAUUUCUCCUCUUUUACGGCAUGUCGGUGUGAUUAUCUUGCUCGCUCUCUCUCAUAGAUUUUGGUACCAAUGUUGCAUAUAUCUUUCUGCUCUAAUUUUUCUUUGUUUUGGAAAAGCAUGUGUCACUCUGUGGUUAGCAGAGCCCCCUGCAGUAGUUUUUUUUUAAUCAGCCACGCAGCAAGUCAUGGGUACUGAAACUCAUUCAAAGAAAUUUUAAUAACACCACUACAUACACACAAAUGCAACAAAGGGCGAAAUGUGCAUAAACUCUUCUUUCGUACAGCACCCUGAAUGAUAGAAAGAAACAACCAAACUUCUCUUGUUUAAACAAGAUUUGUUUUGAGCUAUAACAUGGCUGUUUGUGAAGUAUUAUUUUGCGUGUUUUAUUUAAAUCAGUGAUCUGCAGACUAAUUAAAGUUUAAAUUAUUUAACCACGCAUUUUUAUAUAAGUAAAACGUAAAAUAUAAGUUUUCUAAAAACAAGAACUCUCGAAGGGAUAGAAAUAUGUGUUGCAAGCAAAUCCAGAACUAUGGCCGCAAACGCUGCUACAUCGAAGGCAAAUCAUUUACGCACCAGAUAUUAGUAUGAUAGUCUUUCAACUUGAAAUUCGUCCUGGUUCAGUUAUAUGUAGUUGAAUCGGAAUUAGUUCAGGUGCAAUGCCACAUUUUUUAUAUGCAAUUAAACCAUUUGGUCAUCUACAUACACUUGGCAUCCACGAAGUGCGGGUGCAACAAGCAUGUGAAGAAUUGGAACGACAUGGUUUAGGUGCGUUUGCAACCGUUUAUCAUCGCGAUGGGGAUCAACUGGGUUUUGCCAAUGAGCUAGAGGGCAAAGCAGUUGCAGUAUUUUUGGACUUACCGGCACCUCAGUUGGCCGUGCCAUUAGCAAUUAAAACACAGAAAUUAAAGGGAGGACUUUUUUGAUUCAUUUUCACCUUGUAUUGAAGAAUCAUAACGUUAUUGUAUCGCUUUACAAGGACAUGGAUUCACCGAAAUUAUUUCAAUGGAAAUACUACAGCAAGAGCAUGGAUGUUAUGACUAGAACGUUGCCCGUGCUAUAUUUAGAAUUCCUGAAACAUAAGAAACCCUCCUCCCAGAAAUUGGAUGAAUCUAUUACUAGUAGAAUUAAUGAAAGAACAGAUCUUACAAAACCUCCUAAAAAAACCAAAAGAGUCCUCACAUAAUGUGCGCAGCUUACACUUCCAGGUAUUUGACAUUUGCCACUCUUCCUCCAGCCUUUGUCAGAUAGCAAAAAUUGUUCAACUAUUCAUUACGUUUUACAUAUAUAUAUAGUGUAGUACGAUAAUACAUUUAUAAUGUAAAUAUAAUAAUAAACACCUAAA